UAGGGCCUACCAAGGCGAUGAUGCAUAGCCCGAGUUGAGAGACUGAUCGGGCCACAUUGGGGACUGAGACACGGGCCCAAAACUCCUACGGGGAGGCAGCAGUAGGGAAUCUUCCACAAUGGACGACAAGUCUGAUGGAGACAACGCCGCGUGAGUAGAAGUAAGGGUUUCGGCUACGUAAAGCUCUGUUGUUGGUAGAAGAAGGACAGGGUAGUAACUGACCUUUGUUUGACGGUAAUCAAUUAGAAAGUCACGGCUAACUACGUGCCAGCAGCCGCGGUAAU
rnacentral:rRNA from 1 species